rnacentral:rRNA from 1 species
UACAGAGGGGGCAAGCGUUGUUCGGAAUUACUGGGCGUAAAGGGCGCGUAGGCGGCCCGCUAAGUCGAACGUGAAAUCCCCGAGCUCAACUCGGGAACUGCGUCCGAUACUGGUGGGCUUGAAUCCGGGAGAGGGAUGCGGAAUUCCAGGUGUAGCGGUGAAAUGCGUAGAUAUCUGGAGGAACACCGGUGGCGAAGGCGGCAUCCUGGACCGGCAUUGACGCUAGGGCGCGACAGCGUGGGGAGCAAACAGG